UUCAACUCAAACAUGAAAUUGGUGGAGAAUUAUGAUCAAGUAACACUCUAUACUUCACCUAGAAGACGAUCGAAUGCAUACUACCAUAGUGGUGUUCGGAAUAACCUCAAACAAAAUUGAAAUUAUAAAAUUUGUUUGCAUAUUUGUAUAAAUUUGAAUUAAGUGAAAAACGAGCCUUAGAAUGAUAUUCGGGGCCCAAAAUAUUAAAAACAAGGGACAAGUACUAAUACCUAGCCUAUUUGUAAUGAUACAUGUAGCAAAUAUUCGAAACAGUUUUGGCUCC
rnacentral:lncRNA from 1 species